GGGCUCGUAGAUCAGCGGUAGAUCGCUUCCUUCGCAAGGAAGAGGCCCUGGGUUCGAAUCCCAGCGAGUCCACCA
rnacentral:tRNA from 1 species